rnacentral:lncRNA from 1 species
CAUUUAUAUCAAGUCCAGAUCACCCUUACAAUGAAGGAAUCUUCUAAUCAGCACGCCCAACAAGCAGUCAUCUAACUUCUGCUUGAAGAUCUCUGUUGAGAGGAAACCACAGGAUUCGGAUACUUCAACCUUCAUCGAAGGUACUCUCUGAAGGAAAUAAGCAUUUAUUAAGCAUCUACUAUAUGCCAGAUGCUGUGCCAGGUACUUCACAAAUAUUAUCUCAUCCGAUUCUCACAAUGACUCUGGGAGAGUAGGACCCCAAGUUCU